rnacentral:tRNA from 1 species
AUUUAUUUAGUAUAAAAUAGUACAUAAAGCUUCCAACUUUAAAGUUUUCUUAAAAAUAAAUA